AUUGAACGCUGGCGGAAUGCUUUACACAUGCAAGUCGAACGGCAGCACGGGUGCUUGCACCUGGUGGCGAGUGGCGAACGGGUGAGUAAUACAUCGGAACGUACCCUGACGUGGGGGAUAACGUAGCGAAAGUUACGCUAAUACCGCAUACGUCCUGAGGGAGAAAGCAGGGGAUCGUAAGACCUUGCGCGUUAGGAGCGGCCGAUGGCGGAUUAGCUAGUUGGUAGGGUAAAGGCCUACCAAGGCGACGAUCCGUAGCGGGUCUGAGAGGACGACCCGCCACACUUGAACUGAGACACGGUCCAAACUCCUACGGGAGGCAGCAGUGGGGAAUUUUGGACAAUGGGCGAAAGCCUGAUCCAGCCAUUCCGCGUGAGUGAAGAAGGCCUUCGGGUUGUAAAGCUCUUUCGGCAGGGAAGAAACGGUUUUGGAUAAUACCCAGAACUAAUGACGGUACCUGAAGAAGAAGCACCGGCUAACUACGUGCCAGCCGCCGCAGUAA
rnacentral:rRNA from 1 species